GCCAAAGGUAGGUAUAGUGAUAUAACGACUGCCUGCGACGCAGAAGGUUCCGGGUUCGAUUCUCGGUGGGGCA